UACGGAGGGUGCAAGCGUUAUCCGGAUUUACUGGGUUUAAAGGGUGCGUAGGUGGGCAGGUAAGUCAGUGGUGAGAUCUUCAAGCUUAACUUGGAAACUGCCAUUGAUACUAUUUGUCUUGAAUUAUCUGGAGGUAAGCGGAAUAUGUCAUGUAGCGGUGAAAUGCUUAGAUAUGACAUAGAACACCCAUUGCGAAGGCAGCUUACUACGGAUAUAUUGACACUGAGGCACGAAAGCGUGGGGAUCAAACAGG
rnacentral:rRNA from 1 species